CCUACGGGAGGCAGCAGUAAGGAAUAUUGGACAAUGCCCGCAAGGGUGAUCCAGCCAUGCCGCGUGCAGGAAGAAGGCCCUAUGGGUCGUAAACUGCUUUUACACCGGAGAAAACCUCCCUUCGUGAAGGGAGCUGAUAGUAUGGUGAGAAUAAGCAUCGGCUAACUUCGUGCCAGCAGCCGCGGUAAGACGAAGGAUGCAAGCGUUAUCCGGAUUCAUUGGGUUUAAAGGGAGCGUAGGUGGACUGAUAAGUCAGUGGUGAAAUCUUCGAGCUUAACUCGGAAAUUGCCAUUGAUACUGUUAGUCUUGAGUACAGUUGCUGUGGGCGGAAUAUGACAUGUAGUGGUGAAAUACAUAGAGAUGUCAUAGAACACCGAUUGCGAAGGCAGCUCACAAAGCUGUAACUGACACUGAGGCUCGAAAGUGCGGGGAUCAAACAGGAUUAGAUACCCUGGUAGUCCGCACUGUAAACGAUGAUUACUCGCUGCUAGAGGGCAACUUUUAGUGGCUUAGCGAAAGCGAUAAGUAAUCCACCUGGGGAGUACGCCGGCAACGGUGAAACGUCAAAGAGUAGUUAGGCGNGAGAGAGCGACGACGACGACGAGGAGGGAGGAGG
rnacentral:rRNA from 1 species